GGACCACCGUUGAUACGGCAAAAUGUUUGUGGCGUCUACUACAGGCAUCUCAAUUAAAUACUACAUUGCCAACUCAUCAUCAGCUCUUCUUCUAUAGAUGAUCAUGGCUUUAAUUGGGCCAACACACCUCAAUUUUUGCGCCAGAAUAAUAUAAUUAAUUUACAACCAAAUCGGCUGAAAUUAAACAAUAAGACAAUUGACCCUUACCUCAUAAUAAAUUUCCUCCGCUAACAAAUAAUUUUAAAGAAUUUUAUCCGAUUACAGUUAUCAUUACAUAAAAUAAUAUGUUUAAAUUUUUUUCUUUUCCUGCUAACUCAUUCAUAAAAUGAUUGAAUUAAAUGUGCAUUGCUUAUGUUUUUGAAGCAAAUAAGGGUAUCAGAAAUUUAAAUUUCUAAACUGAAUUUAUACGUUUAUGAAACUAGCAUUUUAUGCUUAAACAUUUUUUUUUUCAAGUGCAAGAAAAGUUAUAUUUUAUUUUGUGAUAAUUAAAUUUUUGCACAAACUCUCAGUUGUACAUUAUAUAUAAGACAGCCCGGCACUUGAGCCGUACCUAUCGGUUUUACUGCUAAGGUGAGUUGUAUUUACUUUUUAAUUUGACUUCUAUAGGAAAAGAACGGACCCAUGAC
rnacentral:misc_RNA from 1 species